AUCGUCACGGCUGUCACCUAACGUGAAGGCUCAGCAUCAUCACUGGCCCAGGCUGAGGCCUGGCCACCCAGUGGGCGUGGCCUGUGACUGUGGGCCUGGAGCCCCAAAAGCCACGGAGCAGCCCCUCCCACAGAUAACCAGGCAGUGGACAAUUUGGAAAACGUAGGCGUGGACACAUAAAAAUGAGAAAUCUUUCGGAAUCUCACAGCCGUCAGCUCAGAGUGG